rnacentral:rRNA from 1 species
GAUGAACGCUGGCGGCGUGCCUAAUACAUGCAAGUCGAGCGGACGGACGAGAAGCUUGCGUCUCUGAUGUUAGGGGAGGGCGGGAGAGUCACACGUGGAUACCCUACCUAUCAGACUGGGAUAACUUCGGGAAACCGGAGAUAAUACCGGAGGAUAUUUUGCACCGCAUGGUUCAAAAGUGAGAGACGGUGGUGCUGGAUCGUCUCGAUGGAUACCCGCUGCAUUAGCUGGUUGGUAAGGUAACGGCUUACCAAGGCAACGAGGCGUGGCCGAGCUGAGAGGCGGAUCGCCCACCCUGGAGCGUGGACACGGUCCAUGCUCCUACGGGAGGCAGCAGUAGGGAACGUUCCGCAAUGGUCGGAAGCCUGACGGAGCAACGCCGCGUGUGUGAUGAGGGUCUUCGGAGCGUAAAACCCUGUUAUGAGUGAAGAACAGAUGUGGAAGGAGCUGUGCACAGCCUGACGGUACCUAAUCAGAAAGCCACGGCUAACUACGUG